GAUGAACGCUGGCGGCGUGCCUAAUACAUGCAAGUCGAGCGAAGAGGGGACGGGUGAGUAACACGUGGAGAACUUCAUAUAAGGCUGGGAUAACUUAGGGAAACCUGAGCUAAACGGAAUAAUGAUAAAUGGGACCGAGCUGCAUUAGCUGGUUGGUAAGGUAACGGCUUACCAAGGCAACGAUGCAUAGCCGACCUGAGAGGGUGACCGGCCACACUGGAACUGAGACACGGGCCAGACUCCUACGGGAGGCAGCAGUAGGGAAUCUUCCGCAAUGGGCGAAAGCCUGACGGAGCAACGCCGCGUGAGUGAUGAAGGUCUUCGGAUUGUAAAACUCUGUUAUUAGGGAAGCGGUACCUAAACAGAAAGCCACGGCUAACUACGUGCCAGCAGCCGCGGUAAUAC
rnacentral:rRNA from 1 species